AUUGAACGCUGGCGGCAGGCCUAACACAUGCAAGUCGAGCGGAUGAAGGGAGCUUGCUCCUGGAUUCAGCGGCGGACGGGUGAGUAAUGCCUAGGAAUCUGCCUGGUAGUGGGGGAUAACGUCCGGAAACGGGCGCUAAUACCGCAUACGUCCUGAGGGAGAAAGUGGGGGAUCUUCGGACCUCACGCUAUCAGAUGAGCCUAGGUCGGAUUAGCUAGUUGGUGGGGUAAAGGCCUACCAAGGCGACGAUCCGUAACUGGUCUGAGAGGAUGAUCAGUCACACAGGAACUGAGACACGGUCCAGACUCCUACGGGAGGCAGCAGUGGGGAAUAUUGGACAAUGGGCGAAAGCCUGAUCCAGCCAUGCCGCGUGUGUGAAGAAGGUCUUCGGAUUGUAAAGCACCUUAAGUUGGGAGGAAGGGCAGUAAGUUAAUACCUUGCUGUUUUGACGUUACCAACAGAAUAAGCACCGGCUAACUUCGUG
rnacentral:rRNA from 1 species